rnacentral:rRNA from 1 species
CAAUAGCGUAUACUAAUGUUGUUGCAGUUAAAAGCUCGUAGUUGGAUUUCUGGGAUUUUCAGCCGGCCGGCUCUUAGGAGUUGUAGCUAGGUUUGCAAGUCUCAUCUUCUCACAAUUCUCACUGGCCUUAACUGUUCGGUGCAGAGGACUGAGUCGUUUACUUUGAGAAAAUUAGAGUGUUCAAAGCAGGCUAUCGCCUUGAAUAUAUUAGCAUGGAAUAAUGGAAUAGGACUUUGGUCCCAUUUUGUUGGUUUCUAGGGCCGAAGUAAUGAUUAAGAGGGACAAUUGGGGGCAUCCGUAUUUCGUUGUCAGAGGUGAAAUUCUUGGAUUUACGAAAGACGAACAACUGCGAAAGCACUUGCCAAGAGUGUUUUCAUUAAUCAAGAACGAAAGUUAGAGGAUCGAAGACGAUCAGAUACCGU